rnacentral:rRNA from 1 species
AAUAAAUGUGAGUAUAUUAUAGAAGAAAUUAAAUGGUAAAUCAUUAAAUUUAAAAGAUUUGGCAGUAUUUAAUAUUUAGAGGAACCUGUGUAGUAAUUGAUAAUCCACGAUAAGAUAUACUUAAUUUAAAAUUUAUGUAUUGCUGUUUUAAAUAUUUAAUUAAGUUAAAUAAGAUUUAAUUUAUAAUUCAUAAAUAAAAUAAUUCAAGUCAAAAUAUAGUUUAGUUAAGAUUAAUAUGGGUUACAAUUAAUUAAAUUAUUAAUUGGAUUAAAAAAUUUAAUUUUUUUAUGAAAAUGGAUUUAAAAGUAAAUUUAAUAAAUUAAUUAAAUUGAAUUGUAAAUUAAAUAUGU